rnacentral:rRNA from 1 species
AAACCAAAUGGGAUAUCUUUAGUAAUUGCGAAUGAACAAGGAUAUGCUUAGCUUGACAAAUGGAGCUAUUGGCUUUGAAUUGUAUUGUGGAAAUGUAUUACCAACAGAGGUGCAGGUGCCAGCCUAUUGAAAUAAAGCGUCAAUGAGGGUGAGAAUCCUGUUUGUCAUGUGCAGCCCUUUGUGCACGGUGUAUAUUUGCUGAGUCACACUCCUUGGCAUUGGAAUGCAAAGUGGGUGGUAAGUUUCAUGUAAAGGUAAACAUGCAAUUGAGACUGAUAGCACACAAGUACCAUGAGGGAAAUAUGAAAAGGACUUUGAAAAGAGAAUUAAAUGAGUUUGUAUUUGCUGAACACAAAGUAAACAGACUUGAUUUGCUUGGUGGGAGUGUUGCACUUGCUUGACAAGAGCUUUGGGCUGUGGGUGUAAUGAUUCUUUCUUUGCAUGCCAGUUUCUAUUUGUACAUCUGAUUACCUUUGCACAUGAAUGAUAAGUCUCCUGUGGGGGGUGGAUUGCAUGUGCAUGUAAUGAUUUGUGUUUUGAUAAAUGUGUCUGGUGUAUGUGUGUGUUCCUGUGCUUGGGGAUGCUUCCUUCCUUGGACUUACAAGCCCUGACACACACAUGCUGGCAAAAUGCUUCUGCUUGACCCGUCUUGAAACACGGACCAAGGAGUCUAACAGAUGUGCAAAGUUUGAAGGUGGUAUACCUUUGUGUGCAAUGAAAGUGUCAGCUGGGAUAUGUGCACCAGCACCCAAUUAAUUAGCGGACAGAGGUUUGAGUUGGAGCAUAUCUAUUAGGACCCGAAAGAUGGUGAACUAUGCCUGAACAGAAUGAAUUCAGAGGAAACUCUGAUGGAGGUUCGUAUCGAUACUGACGUGCAAAUCGUUCGUCAUAUUUGGGUAUAGGGGCGAAAGACUAAUCGAACCAUCUAGUAGCUGGUUCCC